rnacentral:lncRNA from 1 species
AGAGGUGACGUUUGUCUGCUCUCAACCAUGCUUAGGUGGUUGUCAUAGUAACCAGUUCACAGUUUUCUGCUGCUAGUUUUACGAGCCAGCCUAAAGGUGGUCCUCUAGGAACUGCAGUUUUUAGCACUUCUACAUCGGCUUUAUUUCUGCAGAAAGACCUGCGGUUGCUGCUUGGUUUUGUUUAACAUUUGUUUUAUUUAUCUUUUUAUGAAGCCUAAAAUACUCUGUGAAUCAAACUUUGAGACGCGACACUCUGAAUUUGUGGAUGAUGCUCAGCUAGCUACAGUUUGAAAUGUUCUUGCAGAUGAUUUCUUUAAUAGAGGUCAUCUGGGAGCAGAUCUGCAAAGACGUUGUCUGCAAAGUGCUGUCUGUCCUUUAUUAUUAAACCAUAAACUGUAUAUAUCAGGACGAAAAAACAGUCAGGCUGUGAAAUUUUCACGUGUUUUCUGUUACAGACAUGGACAGUUUGUUCUGAUCUGGUCUGAACGAGUAAAACACUGAAAUAAACUGUCUGAUCACAGCCUGUGUAUGAUCUGCUCCGCUGCAGCUCAGACCAGUUCACGGUGAGUCACCACGGUCUCUAAAUACCAAACACAGUGUUCCCAAUGAGAAUGUGAGCGCGGUGAAGCACAGCUCCAUUAACCCUCUCAAAAUAGUGUUCAGUUCUCUGUCUGUCUUUAUCAUCUCAGGCUCACACAGGGAAAAAGGAUCUCUGAACGAGCUGCCGAUGGUCCUUUUUAGAUAAUUACAUGGUUUACGUCUCUGGAAUCAGACCGUUGGAUACGGGAAACCGAGCGACAGCAAAACCAAAAAGGAGAGAGGGAAGUGAUGGUACACGUUCAUCCUGGUCAAACUCAGAUCACCUGUGAUCUAUUUCUCAGAAACUUGUUGAUGUUACAGUAUUUUUCUGAUCAUAAGGCGCACUUAGAAUCCUUAAAUUUUCUCAAAAAUUGACAGUGCGCCUUUGUAAUCCAGCACGGUUUAUAUAUGAUUACUUGUUGUGCUUACUGACCGAUUUUAUGCGGUACAAUGCGCUCAAAAAUCUGUCGAAAUGUGUAAGUAUAACUUUGGUAAG